GAUGAACGCUGGCGGCGUGCCUAAUACAUGCAAGUCGAGCGAACGGACGAGAAGCUUGCUUUUCUGAUGUUAGCGGCGGACGGGUGAGUAACACGUGGAUAACCUACCUAUAAGACUGGGAUAACUUCGGGAAACCGGAGCUAAUACCGGAUAAUAUUUUGAACCGCAUGGUUCAAAAGUGAAAGACGGUCUUGCUGUCACUUAUAGAUGGAUCCGCGCUGCAUUAGCUAGUUGGUAAGGUAACGGCUUACCAAGGCAACGAUGCAUAGCCGACCUGAGAGGGUGAUCGGCCACACUGGAACUGAGACACGGUCCAGACUCCUACGGGAGGCAGCAGUAGGGAAUCUUCCGCAAUGGGCGAAAGCCUGACGGAGCAACGCCGCGUGAGUGAUGAAGGUCUUCGGAUCGUAAAACUCUGUUAUUAGGGAAGAACAUAUGUGUAAGUAACUGUGCACAUCUUGACGGUACCUAAUCAGAAAGCCACGGCUAACUACGUGCCAGCAGCCGCGGUUAAUACGCAGGUGGCAAGCGUUAUCCGGAAUUAUUGGGCGUUAAGCGCGCGUAGGCGGUUUUUUAAGUCUGAUGUGAAAGCCCACGGCGUAACCGUGGAGGGUCAUUGGAAACUGGAAAACUUGAGUGCAGAAGAGGAAAGUGGAAUUCCAUGUGUAGCGGUGAAAUGCGCAGAGAUGUGGAGGAACACCAGUGGCGAAGGCGACUUUCUGGUCUGUAACUGACGCUGAUGUGCGAAAGCGUGGGGAUCAAACAGGAUUAGAUACCCUGGUAGUCCACGCCGUAAACGAUGAGUGCUAAGUGUUAGGGGGUUUCCGCCCCUUAGUGCUGCAGCUAACGCAUUAAGCACUCCGCCUGGGGAGUACGACCGCAAGGUUGAAACUCAAAGGAAUUGACGGGGGCCCGCACAAGCGGUGGAGCAUGUGGUUUAACUCGAAGCAACGCGAAGAACCUUACCAAAUCUUGACAUCCUUUGACAACUCUAGAGAUAGAGCCUUCCCCUUCGGGGGACAAAGUGACAGGUGGUGCAUGGUUGUCGUCAGCUCGUGUCGUGAGAUGUUGGGUUAAGUCCCGCAACGAGCGCAACCCUUAAGCUUAGUUGCCAUCAUUAAGUUGGGCACUCUAAGUUGACUGCCGGUGACAAACCGGAGGAAGGUGGGGAUGACGUCAAAUCAUCAUGCCCCUUAUGAUUUGGGCUACACACGUGCUACAAUGGACAAUACAAAGGGCAGCGAAACCGCGAGGUCAAGCAAAUCCCAUAAAGUUGUUCUCAGUUCGGAUUGUAGUCUGCAACUCGACUACAUGAAGCUGGAAUCGCUAGUAAUCGUAGAUCAGCAUGCUACGGUGAAUACGUUCCCGGGUCU
rnacentral:rRNA from 1 species